GACAGAGGCCACGAACGUUGUUCGGAAUCACUGGGCAUAGAGCGCACGUAGGCGGCUGGGUCCGUCCGAUGUGAAAGCCCCCGGCUCAACCGGGGAAUUGCAUCGGAUACAGCCCGGCUUGAGGACGGUUGGGGUGAGUGGAACUCCUGGUGGAGCGGUGAAAUGCGUAGAUAUCAGGAGGAACACCGGUGGCGAAAGCGGCUCACUGGACCGUAACUGACGCUGAGGUGCGAAAGCUAGGGGAGCAAACGGG
rnacentral:rRNA from 1 species